rnacentral:rRNA from 1 species
AGCGAACGCUGGCGGCAGGCCUAACACAUGCAAGUCGAACGCCCCUUCGGGGGAGUGGCGGACGGGUGAGUAACGCGUGGGAACGUGCCCUUUGGUACGGAACAACUGAGGGAAACUUCAGCUAAUACCGUAUGUGCCCUACGGGGGAAAGAUUUAUCGCCAUUGGAGCGGCCCGCGUUGGAUUAGCUAGUUGGUGGGGUAAAGGCCCACCAAGGCUACGAUCCAUAGCUGGUCUGAGAGGAUGAUCAGCCACACUGGGACUGAGACACGGCCCAGACUCCUACGGGAGGCAGCAGUGGGGAAUCUUGCGCAAUGGGCGAAAGCCUGACGCAGCCAUGCCGCGUGUAUGAUGAAGGUCUUAGGAUUGUAAAAUACUUUCACCGGGGAAGAUAAUGACGGUACCCGGAGAAGAAGCCCCGGCUAACUUCGUGCCAGCCGCCGCCGUAACAC